rnacentral:tRNA from 1 species
CGCCCGAUAGCUCAAAAGGAGAGCGACCGGCCCACGCCCGGCAGACCGUGGAGCAUUACCACGUCGGGCGACCA